rnacentral:rRNA from 1 species
CGGAGGGUGCAAGCGUUAUCCGGAUUCACUGGGUUUAAAGGGAGCGCAGGCGGACUGGCAAGUCAGUGGUGAAAUACCUGAGCUUAACUCGGGAACUGCCAUUGAUACUAUCAGUCUUGAAUGUUGUUGAGGUUUGCGGAAUGGGUCAUGUAGCGGUGAAAUGCAUAGAUAUGACCCGGAACACCUAUUGCGAAGGCAGCAGGCUAAACAAAUAUUGACGCUGAGGCUCGAAAGCGUGGGGAUCAAACAGGAUUAGAUACCCUGGUAGUCCACGCCCUAAACGAUGAUUACUCGACAUACGCGAUACACUGUGUGUGUCUGAGCGAAAGCAUUAAGUAAUCCACCUGGGAAGUACGACCGCAAGGUUG